rnacentral:rRNA from 1 species
UGCAAGUCGAGCGGCAGCACGGGAGCUUGCUUCCUGGUGGCGAGCGGCGGACGGGUGAGUAAUGCAUAGGAAUCUGCCCGGUAAUGGGGGAUAACCUGGGGAAACCCAGGCUAAUACCGCAUACUUCCUACGGGAGAAAGCAGGGGACCUUCGGGCCUUGCGCUAUCGGAUGAGCCUAUGUCGGAUUAGCUGGUUGGUGAGGUAAUGGCUCACCAAGGCGACGAUCCGUAGCUGGUCUGAGAGGAUGAUCAGCCACAUCGGGACUGAGACACGGCCCGAACUCCUACAGGAGGCAGCAGUGGGGAAUAUUGGACAAUGGGCGACAAGCCUGAGUCCAGCCAUGCCGCGUAGUGUGAAGAAGGGCCUCGGGUCUGUAAAGUCACUUUCUGUGGGGAAGAAAGCAUUCCGAGUCAAUACCCGGGACGUAGGACAUCAUCCACAGAGCAAGCACCGGCUAACUCCGUCCCAGCAGCCGCGGUAAUACGGAGGGUGCGAGCGUUAAUCGGAAUUACUGGGCAUAAAGCGCGCGUAGGUGGCUUGAUAAGCCGGUUGUGAAAGCCCCGGUCUCAACCUGGGAACGGCAUCCGGAACUGUCAGGCUAGAGUGCAGGAGAGGAAGGUAGAAUUCCCGGUGUAGCGGUGAAAUGCGUAGAGAUCGGGAGGAAUACCAGUGGAGAAGGCGUCCUUGUGGACUGACACUGACAGUGAGGUGCGAAAGCGUGGGUAGCAAACAGGAUUAGAUACCCUGGUAGUCCACGCUGUAAACGAUGUCGACUAGCCGUUGGGUCCUUCGCGGACUUUGUGGCGCAGUUAACGCGAUAAGUCGACCGCCUGGGGAGUACGGCCGCAAGGUUAAAACUCAAAUGAAUUGACGGGGGCCCGCACAAGCGGUGGAGCAUGUGGUUUAAUUCGAUGCAACGCGAAGAACCUUACCUACCCUUGACAUCCUCGGAAUCUGCCGGAGACGGCGGAGUGCCUUCGGGAACCGAGUGACAGGUGCUGCAUGGCUGUCGUCAGCUCGUGUUGUGAAAUGUUGGGUUAAGUCCCGUAACGAGCGCAACCCUUGUCCCUAUUUGCCAGCGAUUCGGUCGGGAACUCUAGGGAGACUGCCGGUGACAAACCGGAGGAAGGUGGGGACGACGUCAAGUCAUCAUGGUCCCUUACGGGUAGGGCUACACACGUGCUACAAUGGUCGGUACAAAGGGUUGCGAGCUCGCGAGGGCAAGCUAAUCCCAGAAAGCCGGUCUCAGUCCGGAUCGGAGUCUGCAACUCGCCUCCGUGAAGUCGGAAUCGCUAGUAAUCGUGAAUCAGAAUGCCACGGUGAAUACGUUCCCGGGCCUUGUACACACCGCCCGUCACACCAUGGGAGUGGACUGCACCAGAAGUGGUUAGCCGUAACCUCGGGAGGCCGAUCACCAACGGGGGUCUAGGGGGA